AAACUGAGCCAAUGCUCCAAAGUACACCUGUCUACCACACUUCCACACAAACGACUGGCACAGCAUAUUCUGUUUAGCUGAAAAGUAGAACAAAAUAUACUCAAAUAGAAAGCAGUUAUUUUAAAGAGUAAGCAUAUUUGACAAUAUUACUGCUUAUUUGGGUCAAAAUAAUGCAGGCUUGGUGAGCAGAAGAAAAUUCAAAAAAAAAAAAAAAAAAAAAAAAAAAUUCAAUUUGUAGUAUCUAUAAUAUAUCAUGUCAUAUUUUUCACACGCAAUAUAAAAGUAUUUAUAUACAUGAAAAUGUAUAGCCUUCCUAUUUUAGAAAGAUUGCUAAUCGCAAACCGAUCUUCAUAUUCGAGAGUCCUUGGCAUCAAAAAGUUUCAAAAUCAAAUCUCCACCAGAUGGUGCUGCUGCUUCAAUAAAGUAGAUCAAUAACUUAACCAUUAGUUUCCCCCUCUUGAAUCAGUUUAGCAUUCACUGGUUUCCUCUUUCGCUGUUAGAGAAACGAUAUGACAUUAGAAUGCGAUGGAAUAUGCAAUACUUCAUAAAGAAAGAAAGCAUUAUCAUGUAUAUUCUCCACAGAUGGGCCCUGUAUUGGGGACUGUGGGAGGGGCUGGAUCAGCUUGUUGGAGAACAGCCCAGUCUCCGCUUCAGUUCCGCUGAGCAGCAGCAGGGUAAACACAAAGUGAGGAGUGACUGAUGUCCAUACUGCGCUCUCAGAGGAGGAGGAAAACAGUAAGGACUUACAUGGUGAGUCACGGCUAAUCCCUGGAACCGCAGAAACAGAGGCAGAGAUUGUGGUGCCUGCAUGAUGUGAGGGUUGUUCUCAGACAGCCUGCUAUUCUUAGGCUGUCUGCAUUCGUCUGAAGUGGUGCAAAGUCUAUUUUUCCCCUUUUUCUUCUAAAAAUGUACAAAGUGAAGUAAUUACAACCUUUCUCAGUCUUCUCUGUGCCGUUUCCUGUUGGUGUGAUGUUUCUCUGUUCUCACUGUUCGCUGUGAUGUUCAAUGCUAUAUAUCUGCGGUCUGGCUUGCAUCCUCGUCCUCUCAGAUUAAGUUAAAUUAUCACAAAAUAAAUAUAAUUUAUUCAUUCAUUAAACUAUGUGUUAAAAACACAACCAGAUAGGUGAAUAGAUUGUGUUCUCAGCACAAUUAUGUUUACAAAUGUUAAUUUAAUGCAAAAAAAAGCAUGUUUAAUUUAAUGUCAAGGCAAGUUGGCACAUUUCUGCAAGUCAUAUUUUAAAUUAUGUUUUUGUAUACAAUGUAUUAAUUGAAAAUUUAUAUUUUUCUUUCAUGCUCUGCUUAUUCAUCAAUUGUUUUGUGUUUGGCAGGUUUCUAUUGAGACAAAAAUGGUCAUCAGGUAAACACAACGUGUAACAACAAACUCUGUAUGUUAAUGUUGUGUUCAAUUAACUGUAUAAUUUUUAUUAAAGGGCAAUAUCAGUUAGCAACAUCUCAAGGUAUGUGUCUAUUUAGGAAUGGAAAAUUAAGUUAAAUUAUAAAAAAGGAUGAAUGAAUAAAUACAUAAACAAACAAACCUGUUAGCCUACUUCUCACCUGUACCCUUAACCAGAGAAUCAGCUGCUACAUAAAAUGUACUAUUAUGGUACAUAGCACUUAGUGAAUAAAAUAAAAAGAUAUGCUAGAUAUGGAAGUAUACAUUUAUUUUCUAAGGGUGAGUAUAGGGGCAUUUGCUGCUGCUGGCUCUGACAUCUGUCUCCCUCUCCACCACUGAAUCACACAGAGCGCUUCCGACUCCCUUCCUGUGGCCGCAGUUAUAAAUGGAACGACUGCAGGCUUGAAGGAUCUGCCCAUGCCUGAGUCUCCUGGAUGUGGCCAUUGACAUUAAUCUGGAAUUUGCUGGAGUGCACCUCUGUUAAUUAGCACAGUCAUUCUGUGAGUUUUAAAGGGUAAUGUUUCACACCCACGGCCCCUGUGCACCACUCCAGCUCGGCCCAAUCUGACAUUUAAACAAUCUGCUUGAUAUUUAGUAAGAGGAUGAAAAGAAAUGGCUACUUUGUGUGUUUGAAAUGGUAAACACAUUUCUCUCAAUCUACAGGCUAGCAGUGCUUCAACUUAUUGGAUGUAUGGUCCAGGGAACAAUAACAAGAGGGAUGGAGAAGUAUUUUAUUAAUUUCUCCAGUUCAUUUGUCGACCCUGUCUAAAAAAAUAAAGAAAUAAAAAAAAACUCCAACCAAGUCCAGUAUCAGUGCCAUUGCCCUACCAUUAUCCCACCACCACAAUCAGUAGCUGGUGAUUACAGUGGAAGUGCAAAUGACUAGAAACAGUGUCAGGGCUCCCAUGUAAUUCUGUGAUGGCCAAAUUCACAAGUUUCUUAUCAUACUACAUGUAAAAUCUCCUCCAGCUAUGAUGUUUUCAUUUUUCAGAAUGUCUAUUUUGAACAAAUAUUUUGUUCAUGCAAUAUAGAAUAAAGAAAAGUGCGUAACAAAUAACAACCCCCCCCCCCCCAACAGGGGCAAAAAUGAAAAUUUUGUCAUUAUAAUUACUCACCCUCAUGUCGUUCCAAAUCCAUAAGAUCUUUGUUCAUCUUCGGAACACAAAUUAAGAUAUUUUUGAUGGUAUCUGCGAGCUGUCUGACCCUCCAUAGACAGCAAUCAUAUUAUUACCACGAUCAACGCACAGAAAUGUAGUAA
rnacentral:lncRNA from 1 species